AAGAUGUCGGCUAUGGUGGUUCCCUGCAGCCAGAGAGGAGGGAUUUCUUAACCCUGAGGGCUGACGGUAGCAGGAUCCUGCACAGAAGGCUUCCCAAGGAGCUGCCCUGCCAACAACGCUAGGCCUUUUGGAGCAGUGGGGCUGAGAGUGCUGACUGUGUACACAGGACCUGCGUAACCUGAUGGAGGUCCCUAUGAGAGAACGUGGAAGUGGUCAUUCCCUGCUGUGAAACCUGGGGAUCAGGGGACACAGGUUUAAAUAAAGUGUCCAUGCCCUUGCCUCAACCUGCCAUAGGUGCAAAGGUAUAGCUGUCACUGGCAAAGAAUAGCUGAGAGCAACAGAGUCAUUGGGAAAUAGGGCACUUGCCUUUAGAUGGGGUCUGUGCCCCUACCCAAAGCACUGGGCACCAGAUGUGAUCAUGCCACAGGCUGAAAGCUGCAGCUCCAGAGCAUCUGGCAUGAAGAAUAGUGUCUCUCAGUCUUUAAUGCCUGACUAUUCUGAUCAUCCUCUUUUAAUUUUUUGCUGACUAACUACAUCCAUAAGUUCUUUGCUCUACUAAAAAUCUGCUUAAUGCACAGCCAUGUUGUAAAGUCAGGCUGCAGUUCCAACAUCACUAAUCCUAAAAGAAGCAUUUGUUCAAAAAAAAAGAGGGAUCCAUUUCCCUAGGAAAUGUGCUUUGAUUUACGAAACAGAAAACGUAUUCUGAGCCAUUCAUGUGACAGGUCACUAUUUCACCCUUUUGGUGCAGUAAAAGCUUAUUCUUUUAAUAGGUUUAUUGCUUUUUGGUUAUUCGCUUCCAAAGGACUCACUUGAGUGCUGCGGCUCUGAUGUGGAGUAGAGAAAAUUAAUUCUUUUUAUGGUAGCCUGUUCCUCUCGCAAGCCCUCAUUUUAAGUGCAGCUCAACUGCAUUACAAAUAACAGUAUGUGGUCCUAGGGGGAGUACAGAGCCUCUAAUUUAAUAUUGUACCAGAGGCCUCAUAAUGUCAGUGAUGCCAGAUCAAGCUUUUCUCUUUCAAGCCCUCCUCCCUGUCCCAAGGGGAGUUGUGAGAUACCAGGCUGGCUGUUGCCAAUGUGUGUGGAUGCUGCUGGGGGUGCUUGUUCAUUCUUCUGGGUUUGGGCUUUCUGGUCCUGUGGCAUCCCAGAGGCAAAUGGAAUUUGUCUGCACAGCCCUGGCUUACUUCUGAAACAACUGCUUAUUGUUAUUUACUGUGGUUCUCUUUCUGCAUUGUCAGUUGCCAGACUUAACAAGGGAUGCGAGCAUCUUAUUCCUGCCUGCAGGGCUGGUGGUCAUGGGCUGGCUCCUAUGGGAGCACAUGUGGAACUGGAGGCAAUGCUCCGUGAAAGAGGGAAAUGGCACUGUUUCAGGAUGUCAUUUGCAAUUAAGCUUGUAGUCGUUACCUUGCUUUGAAAGACUUUGGAAAAGUGUGGGCAUAUGGACUUCUUCAGGAGUCAGUUGUUUUCUAGAGGCAUAUUGUGAGUGGUUGAUGGGAUAGAAAUAAGGAAACCAGAGUUCUCCCAAAUGGUGAAUUGCUUUUGGUUCUCCCAUUAACAGAAGGUCUCCCUUUCAAGAUUACUUUAUUAAUUGGGCCUUUUAUCAUCUCUUACAUCACCAAGGAAAGGGAAAAGAUAUCAGCCACUGUGUGUGGCCUUGCAGACAGCUACCGGCUGCAAAAUUGAGCACUUCCCAUCAAAAAUUAAUUAAAUUAGCCCAGAUUCCAUAAGUAAUACAGCCAGAUCUGCCUGGUACCUCCCAGGAGAAGCACGUUCCAAGUCAAGUGCACCCAGAGACCACAUUUGGAAGUGAGGCAAUUAUUAGUUUAAUUCAGUCAUCAAAUUAAUCUUACAGAAGCAGAAAAUGCCUGUCGCUGGAGGAGGUGGCAGGAGCAUGAAGCACACAGCCUGCUGGGGCUGCAGUGGGGCUGUGGUGGAGGCAGCAAGAGGACAGACACACUGACCGCACUGUCUGACCACCGGCAGUGACCAGAGUGUGUUGGUCUGUUCUCCCCAUGCUUUUCUAGAUGGGGUUUUAUGGUGCCCUCGGUGCCAUAAAAUCCAAGGGGCAUAAACCAGUGGCAGCUUCCCUACCUGCCACAGCUACUGUAUAGGAUGAGCAUGGAGAAGUUAAGACCAGGAACUGGACAGGGCUCCUAGGCAACAACUUGCUUAUCAGCCACUGAAAAGAAGCAGUCAUGACACCUAAAUUAGAGUCUGAUAGUAGGUAGUUUGACUGCAGCCCGAAGCAUUGCCAUGAAAUGCAUUAAGUGACCUGUCACAUGCAGUUUGCUGUUACGCUUAUCCUCUGCCCUGGAGACAACUGCGUGCACAGUGAGUUAUUUGUAGUGGUAGGGAAUUUUUUAAGUAAUCAUACAGCUUUAUGUCUGCUGGA